UACGAAGGGGGCUAGCGUUGCUCGGAAUCACUGGGCGUAAAGCGCACGUAGGCGGCUUGUUAAGUCAGGGGUGAAAUCCUGGAGCUCAACUCCAGAACUGCCUUUGAUACUGGGAGGCUCGAGUCCGGGAGAGGUGAGUGGAACUGCGAGUGUAGAGGUGAAAUUCGUAGAUAUUCGCAAGAACACCAGUGGCGAAGGCGGCUCACUGGCCCGGUACUGACGCUGAGGUGCGAAAGCGUGGGGAGCAAACAGG
rnacentral:rRNA from 1 species